rnacentral:rRNA from 1 species
GACAGAGGUGCCAAGCGUUAGGCGGAAUCACUGGGCUUAAAGCGUGUGUAGGCGGAAUUGUAAGUACCUUGUGAAAGCCCCCGGCUCAACUGGGGAGGGUCAUUCGAUACUGUUCGACUCGAAGGCAGGAGAGGGAAGUGGAAUUCCCGGUGUAGUGGUGAAAUGCGUAGAUAUCGGGAGGAACACCAGUGGCGAAGGCGACUUCCUGGCCUGUUCUUGACGCUGAGGCGCGAAAGCUAGGGGAGCAAACGGG